rnacentral:lncRNA from 1 species
UUUUUUUUUUUUUUUUGGUUCUGGAAUCAGAAUAUCAAUAUGAAAUUAUGAAUGGUGUUUUAUUUUUGUGUGACUAUUUCUUCUAUUAUGUAAUAUUUUUUUCUGUUAUAGGUUAAAUAUUUGUUAUUUAAAUGAUAAAUGAUGUUUUAAUGUAGAAAAAACAAACAUAUUUGUGUAAAAACUAUUAACAUCACUUAAGCAAAGAAAGUAUAUAAAUAUUAUGAAAUUACUGUCUAAAAGAUUACUAUUUCAUGUGAGAUAGAAGUGGUUUAAAGUCAACUAAUUGUUACGAUUCUUCAUGUAUAUAUAGAAAAAAUCGACACUCUGUAAAAAAAAACAAAAAGUC